GUCUCUUUGCGUAUUUGCACUCACUGGUUGUAAUUGUUGUCAUCGGCGCAAAGUGUGGGAAGACGAAAAUGGGUACAUUAGAAGGAGAACGGGCUAAAAGUCAGUUAAAAUGAGACUGUGGAUUUUGUAUUAACUCCUGGCAAAGAAGGAGGUGUUAGCUCAAGAGGAGAUUUUAACUUCAACCUGUCAGCAACAGCUUGAAACUGAAAGCAUCUGGCUGCAGCUUGGGUUGAGGAGUUGGACAGAAUGACCUCAGAGCAGGAGAUACAUGUCAAUAAGGCAGUCAGUGACUUAUUGUAUGUGGAGCAAAUACAAAGUGUUCUUUGUGCAAUGUGAUCAGUUGUGAGACACAUUUGUGCAUUUUACAAUUAUUGACUGUAUUAUACUCUGACAACCAUUCUCUCUAGUUUGUGUGUAGCUAUCUGCAUCAGUGAAGAUAUAUUAUCAUGGAUUUAUAAAAAUUUGUACACAA